rnacentral:rRNA from 1 species
UACGAAGGGGGCUAGCGUUGCUCGGAAUCACUGGGCGUAAAGCGCACGUAGGCGGCUUUCUAAGUCAGGGGUGAAAUCCUGGAGCUCAACUCCAGAACUGCCUUUGAUACUGGGAAGCUUGAGUCCGGAAGAGGUGAGUGGAACUCCGAGUGUAGAGGUGAAAUUCGUAGAUAUUGGGAAGAACACCUGAGGCGAAGGCGGGUUGCUGGGCCGACACUGACGCUGAGGCGCGAAAGCCAGGGGAGCGAACGGG